GCAGAUUGAUCUUUGUCUGACGUGUGAUGGUAGUGAACAAGUCCUUAAGAUAAAAUUCCUGGAAGAAAUAGGCGCAUGGCUAGUCUUAUUAAAGGCAGAAACAAGAAUUGGAACAUUGAAAGUGGCUGACGAUGCCAUCAGUAACUCUGAUUACCACUUAAAGCAUCAGCCAAAAUUGGGAUUUUGAAAACAUCACCACUGAAAUUGAGAAUAAAGAGACAAUGCCCAAGAACAUAUAAAAAGUAGCAAAUUUUAUCUGUAUCAAGAAUCAAGAAU
rnacentral:misc_RNA from 1 species